ACACAGACACCAAAGAUUAGUCCAAAGAUAUUUCUGACAUACAUACCCUCAGAGACAAAUCCUGUCAAUGGAAGUAAUUCUGAGCAGAUGACAAACCACACUUUAAAUGCAAAUAUAACACAAGAAAGUAUUUUGGAAACAACCGUUGCACCGAACCUUGCAGAGAAUGAUGUGAAACAAAAUGACAAACAAGUCUGAGACACAACUCAAUGGUUAGAAACACCCUGAAGACAAUUUAUGAUUAAAGAGAAGUAAAGAAAAGAGAACUGGAAAACAUUCAACAAUCAUGAAAUUACCUGCUUUAAUGUCUGUUGAACAAAUUAUCUUUGUAGUUAAUUACCAAAUUACCUUUGUACUGAAUAUUGUCAUAAUGUGUUAUGCUAGACGGUGAAUGAUAAAACAUUGAGAGUAAGCCAUUUUUAUAGUACAGUAUAUCAAAAGUUGAUAAUUGCAUUAUUAAAGUUAAAGGGUUAAAUAACGAUUUUAUUAGACUAUGUAUGCUAAUCAAAAGUGUAAUUUUCAUUAUUUGGUGAUAAUGUCAAACUAAUUUAAUUAAACUGUCCACUGGGGAAGUUGCUGGGUCUCAUACAAACUGUGAUGAUCCGCUGAUUAUAUGUUCUCAUAAGUAAUAAAAACAUGUAGUAGCCAACAAGCCUACAAAACUACUGAAAA